UAAGGAUGUUACCAAUAAUAUAAUUGUGAGAUAGAUCAAUCAAGGUUAACUAGUCCAACUUGCAUAAUUAAAUUAGAAUCUCACCUUUAAGAUUGUUAUAACUCAAGAGUAGAAAUCUCAAGUUAGAUAGUCUGUCAAUCCAUUUUGGAAUUCUACCAGUUAAAUCAUUAUGGGAAAGAUCUAAUGUCAUUAUCUCAAAAGCUAGUAUAUACUGGCGUCCGCUGGCUCUUGUAGAGACCAGGCCAUAGGUUCAUUCGACUGUGUUCUUCUAUUGAAACUUGGGAUAUAAUAGGAGCAGCAUAGGUUUGACUUUACAAGGGAAUUAACAAAUUGGAAACGAC